UAUCACUGUUGCUUACUAACCCCUAGUACUUUCAUAGUACUUUCACUGUGUGGAGUUGAGUGUAGCCAUAUUGUCACUUUAUGUCAAAGAUGUCUAAGUUACCUUUCCUAUCUUUGAGCACUGUGCUCUCAGGAAGCCUCGUUUUCCACUGUGGAUGUUUCUCAUCAUGACUCAUCAAUUGACUGAGCAAAAUGAUGUCAACUUACAAAGGCGCAGUCUGCAUAAGAGCUAUGCAGCUCAGAAGUGGAAGAAGGAAUUAAUCUUGUCCUUGCUAAAUUCUCAUCUGGCAACAGACAGAUGAAAGUUUCCAGUUGGUGAAAAAAAGUUCCUCUCUCUUCCCAAAGCAUUGUACUGACAUUGGUCAUAACUUAAGCAGAGAAGCAAGCGAUGCAUCAAGAGCUACGCUACUAGAUGAAGACAGUUAUUAUGAUCUAAUUGGUUAAAUAAUGCUGGCCUCUUUUGAAUGUGUUUGAAGAUACUUUUAAUUAUAUAAUCCAAAGAAACAUCCUUCAUGCUUUAUUAAGAAGCGUGAACUACUCACUGCUAUUACGAGUUGCUUUUACUGAUGAAAGAAAAUGAAUGCGAAAUAAAAGGAUAAUGAAAUGACA
rnacentral:lncRNA from 1 species